AGGUGAGCUCAUUCAUCUGGGAAAACAAAUGACCGAGACAUCUACACACCCAGGCACAGCGUGUCCUGUGUGUUCUCUAACACGGACACCUGACCUUCCUAAAGGAAAUACAGGUGAAACUACUAGGGGUGAGAAACCAGUGAAGGAGGUGAACAUGGCAUAGCAUAGUGCUCCACACAUAGGCAGCUUCCCACCUGUAUCGUACUCCCCAUCGUUCACUCUCUCCCAGGAAGAGCCACAAGUGGGAUAGCUGGAAUGGAGAGAUGGAGGAAAGGAGAUAGAGGUUCCACCCUCUGAAGAAACUGUGCCUCCACCCUCUGAAGCUACCCGGUUUCUCUGUUUCUUGCUCCAUCCUGAACAAAAUGGUUGGAUAAACACUUAAAACAAACUUUUUCAGCUA